rnacentral:rRNA from 1 species
UACGGGGGGGAGCAAGCGUUGUUCGGAUUUACUGGGCGUAAAGGGCGCGUAGGCGGCCAGCACAAGUCAGUUGUGAAAUCUCCGAGCUUAACUCGGAACGGUCAACUGAUACUGUGCGGCUAGAGUGCGGAAGGGGCAACUGGAAUUCUUGGUGUAGCGGUGAAAUGCGCAGAUAUCAGGAGGAACACCGAUGGCGAAGGCAGGUCUCUGGGCAUUAACUGACGCUGAGGAGCGAAAGCAUGGGGAGCGAACAGG